rnacentral:lncRNA from 1 species
UUCUUCUUUGCGGGAUCUCAGGCAAGAUGACCAUACCCUCGAAAUCACUUCUAUCUUUGCUUGCUAGUUGCUCGGUCUUUUGCUAUGCCCAUGCUGCGAUACCUACCACUUGCUUAUCAUGCCUUCCAUAUUGCCAUGUUCAGCCUCUAACCCACCUUGUCCUAGCAAACCGUUGUUUGGCUAUGUUACCGCUUUGCUCAGCCCCUCUUAUAGCGUUGUUAGUUGCAGGUGAAGAUUGGAGCUUGUUCCAUGUUUGGAACAUAGAUAUUUUGUGGGGAUAUCACAAUAUCUCUUAUUUAAUUAAUGCAUCUAUAUACUUGGUAAAGGGUGGAAGGCUCGGCCUUAUGCCUGGUGUUUUGUUCCACUCUUGCCGCCCUAGUUUCUGUCAUAUCGGUGUUAUGUUCCCGGAUUUUGCGUUCCUUACGCGGUUGGGUUAUAAUGGGAACCCCUUGACAGUUCGCCUUGAAUAAAACUCCUCCAGCAAUGCCCAACAUUGGUUUUACCAUUCGCCACCUAGCCUUUUCUUUCCCUUGGGUUCUGCAGACUCAAGGGUCAUCUUUAUUUAAACUCCCUCGGGCCAGUGCUCCUCUGAGUGUUGGUCCAAACUGGGCAGCCUGCGGGGCCACCUCGGGGCAACUCGAGGGUUGGUUUUACUCGUAGCUUGACCUAUCUGAGUGUGCCCUGAGAACGAGAUAUGUGCAGCUCCUAUCGGGAUUUGUCGGAACAUUCGGGCGGUGUUGCUGGACUUGUUUUACCAUUGUCGAGGAUGUCUUGUAACCGGGAUUCCGAGCCUGAUCGGAUCUUCCCGCUCGAAGGAAUAUCCUUCGUUGACCGUGAGAGCCUGUGAUGGGCUAACUUGGGACACCCCUGCAGGGAUUUGAACUUUCGAAAGUCAUGCCCGCGGUUAUGGGCAGAUGGGAAUUUGUUAAUGUCCGGUUGUAGAAAACCUGAAGUUGACCUUAAUUAAAAUACAUCAACCGCGUGUGUAAACGUGAUGGUCUCUUCUCGGCGGAGUCCGGGAAGUGAACACGGUGUUGGAGUUAUGUUUGACGUAGGUUGUUCUAGGAUCACUUAUUGAUCAUAGAUUCUCGACCGUACUUUGCCUUCUCUUCUCGCUCUCAUUUGCGUUGUUAGCCACCAAAUAUGCUAGUCGCUUGCUGCAGCUCCACCUCAUACAUUUUACCCUUCCUAUAAGCUUAAAUAGUCUUGAUCGCGAGGGUGCGAGAUUGCUGAGUCCCCGUGACUCACAGAUACUUCCAAAACAAGUUUGCAGGUGCCGAUGUUACCGAGCAGGUGACGCAACCAAGCUCAAGAAGGAGCUCGAUGAAGAUCUUGUCCUUUGUGUUGUUUCAUUCUAGUUGAUCAGUAGUGGAGCCCAGUUGGGGUCGAUCAGGGAUCUGUGUAGCAUUUGGGGUAGUCUUCUUUUAUUUUGGUUCCGUAGUCGGACCUUGUUUGUAUCUGGAUGAUGUAAUGCUUUAUUCAUGUAAUUGUGUGAAGUGGCGAUUGUAAGCCAACUAUGUAUCUCUUUCCCUUAUGUAUUACAUGGGUUGUGUGAAGAUUACCUCACUUGCGACAUUGCUUUUAAUGUGGUUAUGCCUCUAAGUCGUGCUUCAACACGUGGGAGAUAUAGCCGCAUCGAGGGCGUUACAAGUUGGUAUCAGAGCCUUCCCCGACUUUAGGAGCCCCCUGCUUGAUCGAAUCACUGGUGUUGUGGAGUCUAGAAAAAUGUUUUGAGUCAUUUAGGAUUAUAUAUAUCGGAUAGUAGGAUUCUUCUUACUCCUCAGUCCCUUCAUCGCUCUGAUGAGGCAUCCUGACGUAGAGUUUUGACUCUUCUCUUCUCAAAUUUCACUAAAAAAUUAGGAUCACGUUGGUAUCUUAGAAUCGUUCCGAUGGUUUUGUGACGAGAACAUUGUUCUUGGUGCCUCCUGUCAUUUAGGGGUUGUGGCAGUGUCCCGGGGAGUUGAGCUCCGAGGUGUUGUCGUCACAAUUUUAUCGUUGAAGUUCUGGAAUACCUGAGUUUAGUUUCGCCGACAUCGAAAAUCUCUUUUAUGCAGUUGUUGGUGAGAUAACUUCGACGCCACCCAGUACUGGGGCGAGAGUUCGGGAGUAUUGCCAUAACUUGUAUAACAGAUGCUUUUCGAAGGUUGAGGUAAAUGAUUUCCGAAGGUUUCUUGGUUAUGUGUUGAAGGAUGGAUAUAGCUGGAUGUAGGAUUUGUUAGUUUUGGGUGAGAUAUUAUGCUUCCCCUGUAUCCCCAACACCUGAUUGCAUAACUGGAAAAUUUCGGGAGUUUAUAAGUGAGAAUUCAAGUAGCUCUUAGGAUAUCUUUCCGACAGAUGUAUGAUAUGAAAUUCGGGUUCGACGUCUAGUGGUCCGCCUAUUCACGGUUGGUUUUACAGUGGUCUCGUUGUGUCUUAAAGAGUCCUUGGCUAUGCCGACUCGGGGACGCUUCGUAUGUCAUAUGCAUUGCCUUGUACAUGAUGGUGUUGUACGAUCGAGCCCGUGUAGGCCCCACCACGAAAACUUCGGACGAUAUCUCUAUCAUAUGUUUGUUCUGGCUUAUUUUGCAAGCCAAUCCUUUGUUUUGUUUUGAGUUGUGGUAUUCAAGUUGCUUCGAAGUCAAAUGUUGAUUCCAUACCUUUUCUAAACGGUGUUCUCAUGUUCCUAUGUGAAUACUAAUCCUUCAUAAUAAUCGAGAUUUUCAUGUCAAUCCUUUUAACCGGUGUUCUCUCCUCAAGCGGAUCCGAUCAGUUCAACAUCCGCAAGAUUAAGUAUCAGUUUUCUUCUGAACGGUGUUUGUUUCAUCCAUGUCUAAGUUGCCUUUGUUUUUUUCCCGCCCUCCCUCCCUUGCUUUUCUCCGAGGUCUCAUAUGUCUUAAUCAAGUAUCCUUUUAUUCUUGUGAAGUCUCUUCAUUCUUUUCUUUCAAUGUUCUUAACCGGUGAUUCUCAUGAAGAUUCUAACGGAGCUUCAAGCUCAUCAUUCUUCGUUCUUUUUCUUCUCCGGUGGAUCCAAUUCAAGCCUGUUUGAUCAUGUCUUUUUCCUCGUUUCAAAUACCUUCUCUUGCCGGUACAACCUCUCUUUUAAAUCAUUUCAACGGUGUAUCUUUUGAGUGGGCCCUAACCCACAGGUCUUUUCCCAGGAUCUUACCUGACUCAUCUUAUUUUCCCGGAGUUAUUCUCAAAUUCUAUUCCAAGUUUGGUGUAAUAAUGAUUCAUCAUCAGUCAAAUGUAUUUCUCCAAGAUCUGUCAAAUUCUUUCAUCGUUGGUUCAACCUUUAUAAUUUUCAUACCGGAGUGUCUCAACAACUCAUGGUGGUUUUUUUUCUCGUCGUCAUUCUCAACAUUUGAAGACCGAAGAAGAGUUUUCGUCCAAAUAUUAUCCGUUCUCUCAAAGAUUCGUCAUUCUAGCUUGUUGCCAUCCUUUCAUAAUUGUUUUUGAUUGUGAGAAUUCUUUUCACCUAUCCGGAGAAAUUCAAGAUUCUUUUCAGUUUGAUUCUCCGAAGCCCAUCAUUUCAGAAGACUUAUUCAUUCUCAGCUUUCAACUAUUAUUCUCCAAAUCUUACCGGUGCACCAUUCAAUAUUCUCUAAUCAGUUCGUGAUCUAUUCGUUCCACUUGUAUCUAAAUUCUCUCAUGUAUCUUCGUUCAUUUGCUAAUUCUUCCCAGUGUUUCUUUAUCUUCUCUUUGUUCAUUUUUAAUUCUUACGGUGGUUCGUUCAAGAGUUCUCGUCAUUCGUUAUCAUAUCAAUUUAUUCGUUGUCUUCAAUCCUUCCGGUGGUUCGUUGAAGACCUUCUCAAGUUUGCGUUAUAUCUAUCUUAAUCCUUUCUACGAGAAUAAGUAGUAUACCAAAUCCGUUGCUUGUCAUCAAUUAAAUUGGUGAAGGUUAAGCAUAAUGUAAUUCUUAUUCUUAUUUCAUCCAUAUGUUAAUCUUUUCUUCCGGAGUUUGUUCACGAUGAUUAAAUUUUUGGUUUCAAGUGCUCGUCUUUCUUUCCCGGAGUUCCAAGCUCUAAUUAUCACGGAGAUCCAUCUAAAUCAUUACAAGGUUUCACCUUAUGUUUCCAACUUCUCUUUAUUUUCGUUAUUCUUUUUGUUUACCGGAGUUCUUCAUGAAGGUUCUGCAUGAUGGUUCAUCAAGGAUUUAUAUUCCUUCUCGAAGUGUUCAUCAAGAUUCUUUUCUAAGGAGUUCAAGCAUUCUUCAUCUUGCAUCCGGAGUGCAAUUCUUUCUACCUUAUCAUUGGAGAUGGUAUUAUGUCAUUCUUGAUAAUUUGAGUUCAUGUUUCAUGAUUCACAUGUUAUCAAGAAUGAGAUAUUUUAAAUCCAUCAACCUCUGCGUUGGAAUUAUCUUGGGUUAUAUUUCAUCUAAAGCCUUCCCUAAGGAUUGUUGCUAUCUAUGGUGCUCAUAAGUGACCCAAGUUCUUCUUUUAUCCUACAGGUGAAUAAGUUUCUCGUCUCCUUGUUGAUAUCAAUCCAAUUCUUUUCCCGUAAGUGGCUGGUUGUCACCUCAUAAUUUGAGAUGUAUUCCAUAAGACCAUAUCAAGGUUAUUCUUUUCAUUGUUGGUGUUCCAACAACUCCGUUCGACCCUUCUCCUAAAGAUGCCUUUUCAAGCUCAAUUGUGGUAGAAGUUGGCAUUUUCUUCUCCAUUCUUUUAUUUCAAUUAUCUAUCUUCUAUUCUUUCUCCCGGAGGCAUUGUAAUGUUGCUCUUUUCUCUCAUCAUCUCGGAUGGUGUUCUUUUCGUGCUUACCCAUUUAACCGGAGUAUUGUGCCCCUUCGCUCAAGUCCUUUUCAUCCUAUCAUGUCUUGCAUCUCUUUUCAACCGGAGUGCUAUACAAAUUUGUUCUUCCUUGUUCCUCUUUUCUAACGGAGUGUUUUCAACUUCGUCCAUCUUCGUUGUUUUCUUCUUUAAAUUUGUUCAACCUCGCAAGGUUCUUGGUUUCACUCAUUUGUCAAAGAAGCAAUUAGUUUUACCCCUUCUCUUCCUUUUCCGUUUUCCUCCGGUGCCAUCCUAGAUCUUGGGACGAGAUCCUCUUGUAAUGGUGGAGUGUUGUAACGCCCCAAGACCGACGCUUCAGAAGACUUCCAUUUUUUUGUGAUUACCGUGUGUUUGUUUUGUGCUUUCUCUUUUAUUUUGCUUCUUGCAUCAUGUUCAUCAUUUGGUUAUAUUGCAUUGUCAUGCCCAUCUUUGUCAUGUUGCAUUUUUGCCUCUUGUCAUUUUGCAUUCUCAUAAUCAUCAUGUGCAUUGUCAUAUUCAUGCAUGUUACAUUGUUGCAUGCUCCACGUACGAUCAUGCAUCAUCACCUCCUCCUUCCUUCUUCAUUCCUUCAUUUUGGCAAGUGACCAUUUCCCCUCCUCCAUAAAUGUUCAUUAUUUCCCUAUUAAUCUUAAACCAUGCCUACACCCUCUCUGACAAUUUUUCAGCUCAUUGGAAGAUGUUUUGGUUGGGUUCAAAAAUGACUCAAGUUUGAAUUAAAUUCAAACUUGAAUUAUUUUUCUAUCUCUAAAAAUGUCCAGACCAUUUUAUUCAAAUUGUGCAUAAAUCCAGGAUCUUAUAAAUAUUUCCGUCCCAGCCUACUUCCUUCCUGAUCUCCCUGUGCAUUUCUGCUCUUGUUAUUCUGCCUGAAGAACUAAGGAAAAGAAAUGAGGAGAGAAAGGAAGAGCAGCCCAGGCCCAGGCCACCGCAAGCCCCUCAGCCAGGCCGGCCCAUCCUGCUACAUGGCCUGCUAGGCCCAGCCGCCUCCACUAGUACCCAACCCUAGUCACCAGGGAGCCCGACUCCCUCUCCCUCUUGUCUUCAUCCACCGCCGCCUCUCACGCACGCUCCGAGCCACGCAUCGCCCUGCUCGAUCCCCUUCCACCUCGACGCGCCAGCAGGGAAGGAAAAAAACCCCGUGCUCGAUCCCCCCUUCUCUCCCUCGAUCCCUCCUCCAGCGCCGACCUCCGCCGCCUUGCCGCCUCUGCUUCUCCUUGCCAGCAGGACCCUUACGCCUCCUCCAUGGCCCUCCGCCUCCGGUCUCCUUGUCGUCCUGCCGUGGACGCCGAGCUCGAAGCUCCAGCCGACCCUGCCUCCAUGGCCUUGCUGCCAUGUACCUUCUCGUGGACCGCACGGCCAUGGAGACCACCGUGCCGGCCCCAAGCGCGUCACCCGUGCUCCUUCCCUGCCGGUGACCAAAGCCACCGACGCGGCCUGCUGCCGGCCUCGGCAAAGCCAACGACGGCAGCUCCUCCNNNNNNNNNNNNNNNNNNNNNNNNNNNNNNNNNNNNNNNNNNNNNNNNNNNNNNNNNNNNNNNNNNNNNNNNNNNNNNNNNNNNNNNNNNNNNNNNNNNNNNNNNNNNNNNNNNNNNNNNNNNNNNNNNNNNNNNNNNNNNNNNNNNNNNNNNNNNNNNNNNNNNNNNNNNNNNNNNNNNNNNNNNNNNNNNNNNNNNNNNNNNNNNNNNNNNNNNNNNNNNNNNNNNNNNNNNNNNNNNNNNNNNNNNNNNNNNNNNNNNNNNNNNNNNNNNNNNNNNNNNNNNNNNNNNNNNNNNNNNNNNNNNNNNNNNNNNNNNNNNNNNNNNNNNNNNNNNNNNNNNNNNNNNNNNNNNNNNNNNNNNNNNNNNNNNNNNNNNNCUGCUGCUUGCUGCUUGCUCAUCUCGCGCCGCUUCUCCAUGCCCCGUCGGCCUCCUCUGCAUAGCGCCUCCCGACGCCACCCCACCUCCAUCGCCCUUGCUGCUGCUGCUAGACCACCAUGGCCACCUUCCCAUGUUUCUUCUUCGGCCUUCAGUGCAUCGAACACCCCACUGGUGCCUCUGUGAAUGUUGCCAAGUUUGACCACCACCAAGACCCUUAAAUCCUGUACCCGGAGCCCAAGUUUGAAGACUGCGUGGUUGUGCAUCUCACUUGUGCCACUUUGGAUCAUCAAGACCGUUUCAAGAUUCGCCAAGUACCGCUACGCCCGAAGACCAUCUCCGGGCACGAAGCCUCAAGUCCGAGGACUAUUGCAUUCGUGGAUCCCUUUCGUCAAGUACCACGACCGAUGAAGACCAAGACAGAGACCUCCUCGAGCAGGAGCAUUUUUGGGAUCGUCAGGACCACCUCAAGUUCGACUACGUUUUGCCGCCCCGACCGAGACCGACAAGAACCACUACGACCAUCCCUCGCCAAGACCGACCCCGAAAGGCUCGGAUUCGUCACGUGUGCAACGGCCCAUGUACAACUACGCGGACCUGCCAAGUACCACUUUUUGUCGACAAGUCCACACGGAGGCUCGAGCGAGUACUGAACGAAACGUCAAGUACCACUACCGCCGUUGUAAUUUUGACAAGAAAUGUGUACCACUACCGUCGCCAGUACCUCUACCGUCGUCAUGUAACCCUACUUCCACUACCGUCGCGAGAACAACUACUUCCUCUACGAACUCGAACCGCUCUGAGAAUGCUCCCUUGUAAGGUAUAACCGCCGGAAUGACGCCCGUGGACAAAUGCUUGUGAUGUGUUGUAUGAUAUGCUCUUGUUUGGCCAUGUUCGCACCGUGUCCGUUUUGUCACUCGUUUCCUUGCCACCGAUACGUGGGAAAACCCGGUAUCUGGGAUCACUCCCCGUACCUCUUUCACAUUCCGCACAUCUCUCAUUUGUUUCUUGCACCGACAUCUCAACUAGUUGUCGGAUCAUCGGAACGUUGCUGUGGCACCGUUUCCGUUUUCGCCGCCAUGACACCCUUUUCUUUCCGUCAUGGCGACCAAAUGCCCCAUAUCAAUCAUGCCAACUUUUUCAUAAAAUUGCAUAAACUUGUUCAUGUCAUCCACAUCAUGAUUACAACAAUUAAAAUGUUUAAAUUGUUAUUGCAAUAAAUUACUAAUGCAUAUGGGGAAUUACCGGAUUCGUUAUUUGUUAUAUCCGGCCCCAUUUAAAUUGUUGAGAUGGUGUAGUUUUGUUAUGCUUCACCUUUUGCCAUGUGAACCAACAUUUAAUAUUGUUGAGUACCUAACCGAGAGUAAACUAAAUAAUUGAUGUGGUGUUUCGUCAAUAUGCAAUGGAGUUGCAUAUUGAGCUCCACUUAAUUUGUAGGAUUGCUUGUGCACUUUGCCAUGACAUGCUUCAUUAAACCGGACAUGCAUCAUAUUUGGUUGUGCAUCAUGUCAUGUUUAUGUGGUGGUUGGUUACUAUGUUGUUUGCUUCUUUCCGGUGUUGCUUCUUCGGGUUAGUUCCGAUAAUGUCGCGUUUGUGAGGAUUUGUUCGGCUUCGUCCAUUUGUCUUCUUCCUUGCGGGAUCUCAGGCAAGAUGACCAUACCCUUAAAAUCACUUCUAUCUUUGCUUGCUAGUUGCUCGCUCUUUUGCUAUGUCCAUGCUGUGAUACCUACCACUUGCUUAUCAUGCCUCUCAUAUUGCCAUGUUCAGCCUCUAACCCAUCUUGUCCUAGCAAACCGUUGUUUGGCUAUGUUACCGCUUUGCUCAGCCCCUCUUAUAGCGUUGUUAGUUGCAGGUGAAGAUUGGAGCUUGUUCCAUGUUUGGAACAUGGAUAUUUUGUUGGGAUAUCACAAUAUCUCUUAUUUAAUUAAUGCAUCUAUAUACUUGGUAAAGGGUGGAAGGCUCGGCCUUAUGCCUGGUGUUUUGUUCCACUCUUGCCGCCCUAGUUUCCGUCAUAUCGGUGUUAUGUUCCCAGAUUUUGCGUUCCUUACGCGGUUGGGUUAUAAUGGGAACCCCUUGACAGUUCGCCUUGAAUAAAACUCCUCCAGCAAUGCCCAACAUUGGUUUUACCAUUCGCCACCUAGCCUUUUCUUUCCCUUGGGUUCUGCAGACUCAAGGGUCAUCUUUAUUUAAACCCCCCCGGGCCAAUGCUCCUCUGAGUAUUGGUCUGAACUGGGCAGCCUGCGGGGCCACCUCGGGGCAACUCGAGGGUUGGUUUUACUCGUAGCUUGACCUAUCUCAGUGUGCCCUGAGAACGAGAUAUGUGCAGCUCCUAUCGGGAUUUGUCGGCACAUUCGGGCGGUGUUGCUGGACUUGUUUUACCAUGUCGAGGAUGUCUUGUAACCGGGAUUCCGAGCCUGAUCGGGUCUUCCCGCUAGAAGGAAUAUCCUUCGUUGACCGUGAGAGCUUGUGAUGGGCUAAGUUGGGACAUCCCUGCAGGGAUUUGAACUUUCGAAAGCCGUGCCCGCGGUUAUGGGCAGAUGGGAAUUUGUUAAUGUCCGGUUGUAGAAAACCUGAAGUUGACCUUAAUUAAAAUACAUCAACCGCGUGUGUAACCGUGAUGGUCUCUUCUCAGCGGAGUCCGGGAAGUGCACACGGUGUUGGAGUUAUGUUUGACGUAGGUUGUUCUAGGAUCACUUAUUGAUCAUAGAUUCUCGACCGUGCUUUGCCUUCUCUUCUCGCUCUCAUUUGCGUUGUUAGCCACCAAAUAUGCUAGUCUUUUGCUGCAGCUCCACCUCAUACAUUUUACCCUUCCUAUAAGCUUAAAUAGUUUUGAUCGCGAGGGUGCGAGAUUGCUGAGUCCCCGUGACUCACAGAUACUUCCAAAACAAGUUUGCAGGUGCCGAUGUUACCGAGCAGGUGAUGCAACCAAGCUCAAGGAGGAGCUCGAUGAAGAUCGUGUCCUUUGUGUUGUUUCAUUCUAGUUGAUCAGUAGUGGAGCCCAGUUGGGGUCGAUCGGGGAUCUGUGUAGCAUUUGGGGUAGUCUUUUUUUAUUUUGGUUCCGUAGUCGGACCUUAUUUGUAUCUGGAUGAUGUAAUGCUUUAUUCAUGUAAUUGUGUGAAGUGGCGAUUGUAAGCCAACUAUGUAUCUCUUUCCCUUAUGUAUUACAUGGGUUGUGUGAAGAUUACCUCACUUGCGACAUUGCUUUCAAUGCGGUUAUGCCUCUAAGUCGUGCUUUGACACGUGGGAGAUAUAGCCGCAUCGAGGGCGUUACAGCGAGCGCCCACGCCGGCGUCCCCGCCUAAACCUACUACACCCAGGACCGGGAGGCGAACAGGUGAUGCUCGAUGACGAACAUCUGCUCGAGGACACCCUGCUCGACGAUGCUCCUCUUCGCUAGCAUCUCCAUUGCAUGGUGAGCUUCCCCUGUCUCCUCCCUUUAAAUUUGGAGUACUGCUUGGGUACAGAUUAGGAGUAGGGUUCAGUUUAUUUGUAUGUGUAUGGGUACAGAUUAUGAGUAGGAGAUGUAGUCGUAGGCACAGUUUUAGUAAAAUUUCAGUAACUUCAAUUAUCCUGCUUGAAGUACUUUGAAAAUAUACUCAAAAAAUGUACUGUUUGUACUGCUGAUCUUGCAGAUAGGGGGAGAGUUCUUGUACUCAGAGCAGCUGUUGAUCUGCAGCAACUCUAGAAGUAGGAUUUAGGAUAAUCAUAGUUUCUGUUUGCCAAGCAGGGAGUAUAAUUUAACUGAAAAUCAACCAACUUUUGCUUUGAACUGGAGUAUAAUUACUGAAGCGGAUCGAACUGGGGCGAUGUGGUUGGGUGGUCAACGGCGGCUGCGCGGGAUGCAGUAUGGUGUGGCUUGAGCAUCUCGAGGAGGGGCUCUCUCCGCAAGGCAUCCUCUACGCCAGUACGUUCUCUGAUCCGAACUUUCUUCUCUUCGCUCAUGCACGCACCAACGCAGCUGACCUGUCGUUGACCAGCGGCGGAGUUGUUCGAGUAGUCUGUCCCGGGGCUGCGCGUGGAGCACAUCGACGUCUCCGUCUUGCCAUUGCUCAGCACCGCCCUGCCGGCUGGGGUUCUUAUUUGCCAUCGAGGCCUUCCACAACUGGGACCAUGGUGCCUGAUAGCUUCCUCUCCGGCUGGAUCAGCAGUCUAUCCACCCAGUAAAUUUUUGCUCUUCUCUUAAAUUUUUUAUGUUUCUUUGUCUGAUUCUCAAUAAAGAGCUCAAACUCGAGAUGAGUUUUUGGUUAUGACCUGGCCUAUGGGCGCCUCUGUGCUCCAGUCAAGUCUCAUGUGUGCGUUGAUUUAAGUCAGUCUUCACAUCAUAUAUAUUUGACCUACAGCAAUUGGUUAUGUGCUUAUAUCCACUAUUCAAACAAUAUUAUUUUAAAACUUCCUGAUUUACAGUUAACUUAGUUUAUUGGCUGGCAGGAGGAGUGUAAUGUUGAGAUCAAUGUCGGGAUCCGCAGGUACUACUAUAUAUUCAGAGUUCUUGUGGAUUUUUUGUUCAGGCAAAUGACAGCCUUCUUAAAAUUGCAUUAUGGUGUUGGUGUUUUAGGUUUCUAUGGCGUAGCAUCAGAUUAAUAUUGCCAAGCCUGAGCUGGCGGUUCAUAUGGAAGAUCCCAUGGGCCAGCAGCUGGAGCCUGGAAGCAGAUGUUAAUGCUCCAUAGCAGAGAGUUUAGGUUUACAGCAAGCAGCAACUACCAAAUUUUCCAUGGUUAGUGUUGAUUCCUAAUGAUCUGUGGCUUAUAACAUUGACGACAACAUCUAGGCUAUCUCAAAUUUACCAUCAGAUUAGUGAUCUUUAUGCAUGAUUGGUUUAAAUUAUUAUUUUCAUCCUAGCUCUUGUGUUUACAGUAGGAUAUAAACGAAAAUUGUAAUGGAGAUGGUUGCCAUCAGUUCCAUUUUGUUGCACAUCACAAGCCUUUCCACUCAGAUCGUCGCUGUGGCCAGAUCCGGCCGGGGGAGCCACCAUAGAGCCGACACCUCGGCGGCGCAGCAGCAGCCCGAUAGAAGGUGGGUGCUCGAGCUCAUCCAGCAGCUCGUCAUCGACCAGGAGGCCUCUACCUCGACUGCAACCGUCCGUGGAUCUCUAUUGCAAGCACCUUGUAUCUACUGAUGUUCUUCCGCCCAUCUAAAUUCCACAUGUUUUUUUUGACGGGAUCUAAAUUCCACAUGUUGUUAUAUGAGUGGUACAGCUGCAUGGAUUGGUGAUAUGAGUAUUUGUACAAACCGCCAAGGACCUCAAGUUCACAUGGUUCGUGCUUCUUUACGUACGAACUCUACAUAUGACAACCAGCAGAUCAAUUGGUACCGUCUCCGAUUUCUAUCAUCAUGUUGCUUCAUUUAUCUUCAUAUAAGUUUCACUGGGUGCAUGUAUUUGACAUACUACUUUUUUUAGUAGGCAUCAAACUUGGUUCAGGUAGCUUUUUUUGUGAAAGAAAGUUAUGUUUCUAAAGAUCUGUACUCUGAAUCCUAGAUCUCAUACUUGCUUUUUUUGGCAUAAUAGUUUCAGGCCUGGUGAGUAUGAAGCAGAUUGGGUUCUCCAAGGAAUCCCAAUACGAACUCACAUUUUGCAACACACAUGCUCAUCCAAUUGGGCAGCCAGCUGGGAGGUAGAGAAUACCUUUUUCCUCUUUCACAAAUAAAAUAUUUUGAUACUCAAGAUUGGAUAUCAAGGCAUUAUUUUAUAUCAAUUUAUUGAGCCAAGGUCAUGGAAGGAACUAUUUUUUCUCUUGUUGCAACACACAGGCUCAAGGGUACAGGUGCGCGAACCCCUACUUAUAUAUAGGCAUUUUCACGUGUGUGUUGGAGCUUUGUCUGAUCGUAUACACUGAUUAGUGCAUGGGUCAUGUUCAUUGAGGAUGCUUUGAUGGGUAGGGGAUUCCAUGAAAGAGCUGGUGUGGAUUAAUAUCCUUCGGGUUUCUGCAAGGCGUGGCCCUGACAUUUGCCAGGCACUAGAAUAAAUCUGAAUUGUGUGUAGCGGUUGUCCAUCACUUAGUUAUUGUAGGCAUUAUGUUUCACAUAAAUAUAGAUAUAUUUGAAUCAUGAGUAACUACAUGUCCACUCUUCGUCCAAAGUUUUUGCUUCUGUAAUAUGAUUGGACUAUUUAGUUCGCAUCCUUCUCCCUUUGCAGAUUCUAAUGCAUUUUGAAAUUGUUCAUGUGCUUCAUUUUUGCACUCUUGCUACUCUCUGGAGAAAUUAUUUGCUCUACCUAAAGCAUGGCUCCUAUGUUGGUAUUCAUGGCCAAUCUAGCUAUUUUAUGAUUAGUAAAUUGUUUGCACUAAUGUACUACCUGCUUACUCUUGGGAGUGUGGAUGACUAUGAUUUUCUUUAUGCUUAUUAUGUGCAAGCAUAGUGUUCUUUGCACAAGCAUGAUGAUGAUCGAAUAAAUUAUAGUUCUCUGAAUGCAUCCUUUUGUCAUUAGGUGAUGUUUUAGGAAAAGAUCCUUGUGUGUUGUUGAAUUGUUUACAAGAAAACAACUAUUCGGGAGUACAUAGAGAUAGAGUGCUUUUUAUUAGUAGUAGCAAGAUAGAGUUCAUGUCGAUUAGACUUACCCGGGUUUCUUCAAAUUUAAUGGUUUGUCGUAUGACAACUAUUGAACUAAAAAUAAUCUAGCGAGCAAUAAUAAAAUGAAGAAUAAGGCAUCCUAUCGCAGAAUCCUAUGAGUGAAUACUAGCCCAAUAUAGUGGCGAAAUAAAAAUGCUUUGUUUGGAUACGAGGCAAAAAAAUAGUUCACGUAGAGAGACUUUAUUAGUUGCAGAGUAACAACACUACCACAUACAAGGGUGUAAUUAAAGAGACUAACUCAUCAACUGGAGUGAGAUACUUAUUGCUCUAUUUGUUGUGAAGAUGGCCCCUUUUGGAGUGAGGCGCGGCUAUAGUUGCUCUAUGUUGUGAGAAUACCCAAGCCCUCAAAUGCCGAGAGGCUUCUCUGGUUAUGGGUUGCACAUUCAAAAAGCAAGAUUGUAAGUUAAUGAUUCGCCGAGUUGUUUCUCUGCUAACUGUUUUUUGUUAAUGGAUGAAACCUUGUGCUGAUCCCUUUUUUCUGCUUGUUCCAAUUAGAGUACACCGGCUAGAUAUGGUUCUCAAGUAUGCAUCAAUACAAAUUAUUCCAAACAUUGUUGCACUAUGCUGCAUGUAGCUUUUGGUGUGGUAUAACAUUUUCUCUAUCUUCUUACAUUGUCUACUUAAUUUCUUAGACAACUAGCUCGAAAUUUGGAUAUGGUAAUAUGUGCCUUCAAGUUUCUAAGGUUCCUGGAGAGUUUAACCACUUCAUACAUCUCCCUUUUAGAAACUUGUACUUAGUAGGUCAUUUGUCGUAUGAUAUAUCAGAUUUAUUUGUUUGAUGAAUAUUGAUAGUCAAUCGAUUUUUAUAUAAACGUGUAAUAAGUAGUGACUGCUGCAAAGUUUACUUGGUCUUCGAUUUUUAUAUUUCAGAAGACUGUCCUAGGGAUGUUAGGUUUAUAUUUUAAUUGCUGGUUAUUUCAUUACUGGAGCACCCAAAGUGGUUAUUUCAUCCGUAUAUAAAGCCCCAAUUAGGCCUUGUUGCUUGAGAUGGUGGUUAAUGCGACAUGACAGCUGUCAAGGAGGAGAGGAGAGAAUAUUAGUUUGUCUCUAUAUGAAUGCAAACCAUAUGUCAACAUGAUCGACAUACAUUUCUGAAUUUAAACGAUUGUUUAAUCACUAUUUUCCGUUAGUCCAUUGGCAACACACAAACAUUCAACUAACCAUUGUCGCUGUGCUUCUUGUUGACAGUUCGGGGUUAGAAGGGAGAAGUUAGAUUGAUUUUCUGUGUGCGUGUGCAAGCUCGGUUUAACCUAUGAGGCUCACUGGUAUAGUUAUUUUUUGAAUAUGCAAUCUGAAUAAACAUAGGUAAAACAGUAUGGCGGAAUCUUGCGACAGGGGCAGAAGUUAGAAUCUUGAGACAGUGCUAUAACUCCUUGUCCUUGGUAGUUUGGACUUUGUAAUAAUUAUCCUAGACAGAUGCUAGAAUGGUAGUAAUACCCAGUAAACCCAUAUUUAGCAAUGGCCAUGCAUGUCUUUUAGAAACAAUCAUCCUUUUAAUAUUAGGUAGAGAUAUCUAAAUAGACUUGAUGUUUUUCUAUUAAAGUUUGUUUUAUGUAGAUACUGAAAUUAGCAACGCCAAACUUUUAAUCUAGAAAUAUCACUUAUUCACUUUAGAGUACCUUGGUCUAUAAAUGUGUUGCGCUACUGUAUUUUAAAGACACGGUUUCUAUUGGAAAAGAUUGCAUUAAAGAUGGUGUCGAUACUGACGAUGGGCUGCCUUGCACGGUGUCGGUGUCAAAACCGCAGAUGUCGGGUAGGGGGUCCCGAACUGUGCCUCUAGGCCGGAUGGUAACAGGAGACGGGGGACCCUUUGUUUUACCCAGGUUCGGGCCCUCUCGAUGGAGGUAAUACCCUACUCCUACUUGAUUAAUAUUGAUGAUAUAGGUAGUACAAGAGUAGAUCUACCACGAGAUCAAGGAGGCUAAACCCUAGAAGCUAGCCUAUGGUAUGAUUGAUGUGUAUGGAGUUGAUUCUCCCCUACGGACUACAAUCCUCCGGUUUAUAUAGACACCGGAUAGGGUUAGGGUUACACAGAGUCGGUUACAAUGGUAGGAGAUCUUGAAUAUCGCAUCGCCCAGCUUGCCUUCCACGCCAAGGAAAGUCCCAUCCGGACACGGGACGAAGUCUUCAAUCUUGUAUCUUCAUAAUCCAGCAGUCCGGCUGAAGGUAUAGUCCGGCUACCCGAACACCCCAUAAUCUAGGACUCCCUCAGUAGCCCCUGAACCAGGCUUCAAUGACGACGAGUCCGGCGCGCAAAAUUGUCUUCGGCAUUGCAAGGCGGGUUCCUCCUCCAAGUCCUUCAUAGAAGAUUGUAAUCACCAAGAGUAGUGUCCGGCUCUGUAAAAUAAGUUUCCACAUAUUUCCAUAGAGAGAAUAAUAUUAACACAAAUCAAAUCUGCUGACGUAUUCUGCAGUGCACCAUCACAUUACAGCCAAGUCCUUUACUCGAAUCGUUUUUACUUUUCCACCUCAGCAUGUUUUACGAGGCGGUUUCCUUGGCACGUCUUGUCAAAGCAGACAUCGUGUACCCCCCUUUCACGGGAUUCUCAUCAAUACGGACGUGGGUAACCCAAUCAUGCCCGUUAGCACUUUUUCUUGAUUAAAGGCGAGUCCCAAAUGGUAACGGGGAGGGCCCCUGGUAUUCGACCUCUUAUAAAGAGACCAAGGCCUUACUCCUUUUUCCAAUCUCAAACGAGUUCGCCCGUCACCUCGAGUUCCAACACCCUAGGCUUCAGAUUCCGGGCGCUUCGGACCUUCGACAAUGUCCGGUUCCGACCUUCAAGGCCGAUGGAUGCCCUCUUCCGUCACGAAGGAGGACGUGCUAAAGUUAAGAGAGGCUAAGUUCUUGACCGCCGAAAUUCCGCAUAGGUUGCCUGGUCAAGGGCAGGCUAUUCCCAAUCCCCAGCCCGGCGAGAGCGUAGUGUUCAUGUCUCACCUCCUUCGGGGGUUAGGCUUCCCGAUGGAUCCCUUCGUGAGGGGGCUGCUGUUUUAUUACGGGCUGGAAUUUCAUGACUUAGCCCCGGAGUCUAUCCUCCACAUUUCCUCAUUCAUCAUCGUGUGUGAAGCAUUCCUCCGUGUUACUCCUCACUUUGGAUUAUGGCUCAAGACUUUUGGAGUGGAGCCGAAGAUGAUCGAGGGACGGCACGCAGAGUGCGGAGGUGCUGUCAUAAGUAAGAAUGUCGAUGCUCCAUGGCCUGAGGGCUCCUUUCAAGAGGAGCUCGGCUUGUGGCAACGAGAGUGGUUCUAUAUCACCGCCCCCAGGAGCGCCAAGUGGGUGGCGCCUCCUGCCUUUCGCUCGGGUCCCCCACCACGGCUAAUGUCAUGGGUUAACAAAGGAUUAGAUUGGGGGUUAUCCAAAGAUGUGCCCCUGUUGUAGGGCCGCAUUAGGGAUCUCUUAGAAGGAGACCUCAACCUGGUCAAGGUGACGCAGGUCAUGCUGAUUCGCUGAAUAUUGCCCAGCAAACGUCGCCCCCUUCGCCUGUGGGAGUUUAAUCCAGAGGGACCGCGAGCUCUCCAGAACUUCAUGGGCGCAACGCCCGCGGAGAUGUAUAGACUGUUCUUCGGAUCACAAGAGAUGUGUCCGGAUUUAACCGAGGACACAGGUCUAACCCGCAAUCGCCUGGAUACUCAAGUAAGCAACCUUGUGCCCGGACCUUUUAUUUGUAUAAUUGUCAUAAACUUGCCCCUAAAAGAGCCGUCUUCUUAAACAAGAGUGGAUAGCGAAGGCAAAGCUGAUCAGGUGUCCGGCUCCCCUUCAUGAAACCAGGCCGGACAUCAGCCAUGUCGCCUUUGAAUUUAGGUGGCGAGGUGUUCGGAAUCGAGCCGAACUGAUGAAUUUGCCGAACUAAAGCGGCAACUGGACAUGGCAGAUGCCGACAUCGCGCUUGUCAACAAGCGGCUUGAUGAGGCUCAAGGUAUGUAAUUCUUCGGGCGGCGCCAGGUAAGAGGAGCUUCAUGCCAGUGUCUUACAAUGUGUGUGCUUGACACAGAUGGUACGGCCGCCGUGGAGAAUCUUAGGGCAGGACUUGCCCGAGCUAAGGAGCAAGCCAGAAAAAGCGAUGCGGCUGCCCAGAAGGCCCUUGAAGAGCUGAGAGCCGAACAGGCUGCUCAUUGCUGAAGAAAAGAGGAGAUGACCGAGAUGGCCAAAAAGUUAAAAAGCGCUACCGACCGUUGCAGAUUUCUUGAAAAAGAAGACCAGGCGAAACAGACGGACUUAGAGAAGGCCGUCGCCAAUGCCAAGGACGCGCGCUCUGCGAUGAGAGCUGUGAAGGAGGAGCUGCGUCAGGCCGAACAGAUUGUGGCUGGAAAGCCCUUUAUGCUGCGAAGGAAGGUUUGUGAUCCGAAGUUUGCUCCGUUGGACCGGAUGUGGAGUGUGGAGGACACCUAUCUGGAUUUGGCAGCGAGUGCUGCUGAUGCGACCGAACACUUUCGAGAUCAGAAAGAUCACGAAGUGGAAAGGCUUUUAUGGUUGCAGUUUCAUAGUCCAGAGCGUCCACUGGCAGUAAAUGAUCGUUUGGCUCAAUGGGCCGAACUGAAUAGGUUGUCUGGACUCGCCAUGAAGUACGUCGUGGGUGACCUGUGGCCGGGGAGUUCGGAGCCGAAGAGUUAUUUCAGCUUGGUGCAGCAAUUCCUUGAUGCGGUGCCACGUAUAAAUGCAAUUAAGAGGUCAGCAUGCAUAGAGGGCGCUAGGAUGGCUCUAGCCCGUGUUAAGACAUACUGGGCGGAGAUGGAGACCACCGUUGUUGCGUCCCGAUUCGGACCAAAGCCGAGUACCCUCCGAGCACUAUUUUCAGGAAGUUCUUGAAAGCGCUCGUGUAAUAGAGACGCAGUGCCCGAAAGAUGCUAUGUUAUGAUAGCAUAUGUAAUUAUAAAGUAAUAUUUUGAUAAACUGUAGUGGCCUUUUUUUAUACUUGUGCCUCCAAGUAUUNNNNNNNNNNNNNNNNNNNNNNNNNNNNNNNNNNNNNNNNNNNNNNNNNNNNNNNNNNNNNNNNNNNNNNNNNNNNNNNNNNNNNNNNNNNNNNNNNNNNNNNNNNNNNNNNNNNNNNNNNNNNNNNNNNNNNNNNNNNNNNNNNNNNNNNNNNNNNNNNNNNNNNNNNNNNNNNNNNNNNNNNNNNNNNNNNNNNNNNNNNNNNNNNNNNNNNNNNNNNNNNNNNNNNNNNNNNNNNNNNNNNNNNNNNNNNNNNNNNNNNNNNNNNNNNNNNNNNNNNNNNNNNNNNNNNNNNNNNNNNNNNNNNNNNNNNNNNNNNNNNNNNNNNNNNNNNNNNNNNNNNNNNNNNNNNNNNNNNNNNNNNNNNNNNNNNNAUUUUCACACUUAACCCUACGUCUUGGUCCUACAAAGGAGGUGAUAGCGCAGCGGGCCAGGCAAUCGGACUAUAAUGCUUUAACACUUUCACUUAGCCAUAGGAGUUUGAAAAUGAGACUCUUUAGGUAGCUCCUUGGUGGCAACUGCGCUUGUCCAAAUUCGGGGCGCGUAUGUGCCCGACCGGGAAGUGGCCCUUCAUUAAAGCGGAGGAAUCCGAUAGAUUCUGAUCGGUCAUCGAGUGGCUGACCAGUCUCACGCUACAUCAUGACAGUCAGUUUUCGGCUUUCUCUACUGAGGUGCUCGCCCUGGCCGAACCGGGGGCACAAUCGCAGUAGUUCUCCUGGUGCUACCUUAGCCGAUAGAGCGGAACGUAAGGUAGCCGAACUCAGGAGCCGGGCAACCCAACAUUUGACCAAAGACAUGAUUCGGAGCUGAUGCAUAUGAUGCCAAAACUCGCGACGCCGAACACUCCCUAAGGCGUUCGGUCUUUAUGAGUGCGGGCCAAACAACACUCUUUAUUAAAAAAGCCCCUAGUGUCCAGGUACAUGCAAAAAUUCUGACGUGGCCACAUGCCAAGACGCCAUCCUCCUCCUUGGUUAUACUGGAAAGAAAAAACCAGGGGAUGUGUAGCAACAAGAGAUAGUAAAAAAGGUUUACGCAUGGUCUUAAUCUAAAAAGAAUCCUUUAGGACGGGCCCUACUGCACGUCUGCGCCUGUGUCUCCGUUGUGCCGUAUCCUGGACGGGCGCCGCACGACGUUUCAUCUGUAAAAGAGAGGAACUGAGUUGAGAACGGGUCGUGCCAAAAAAAUAAGCAAAGUAUAAAGUAAGAUAUGGAAGUUUGAGCUUUACUGUCUCUUAUUGUAUAUGCGUGGAGCCCUUGUGUGGGGGUAUAUGGCUUCUAGGCCUGCAUCAAUGAUGAUUUUGCACCGAACUCGUCUAUCCAUGUUCGUGGUCUUGAAAUGACCUAUUUUGAAGUUUUUUGGCCGGUGAGGCCAUUUUGCUGUGGGGCUGUUAAAGCGGCCGCACUGUCCUCCGCUUGGGGAGGCGCACUUUAGUGCUUUCCCAUCAAAGAGAUGAUGCCUCGUGGACCGGGCAUCUUAAGCGUAAGAGAUGCAUAAUGCGGUAUUGCGUUAAAUCGAGCGAAAGCUUUGCGUCCCAGUAGCGCUUGAUAGCAACUUGAGAACGGGACGACGUGGAAGGUCAGCUUUUCGCGGUGGAGGUUAUCCGCAGAGCCGAAUGUGACUGUGAUCCGGAGAAGACCCGUACAACCGGACCAAGUAUUACCCCUUGAAAGGAGGUUUUGCUGCGACGGAUUCUUGCUGGGUUUAUCCCCAUGUGCUGUAUUGUAUCCUGAUAUAUCAGGUUUAGUCCGCUGCCGCCAUCCAUAAGGACAUUUGAAAACUUGAGUCCGCCAAUUAUUGGAUCGAGUAUCAAGGCAGUCCAUCCUACAUUCUUGAUAUUCCUAGAAUAAUCUAGCUGAUCGAAGGUGAUCGGUUUUGACAACCAGUAGCAGGAUCCUUUGGGGAUGGGCCGUGUGGUGCGUACCUUUACGGGCACCGCAUGUUUUGUUAUGUGAAGUGAGUUCACUGUUUUUACUUCUUGCGGGAAGUUCUUUUGUUUCCUAGUGCUCUGUUGUUGGGGUUCGUCCUCGUCUUCGCUUGGUGUGUCGAGCCCCUUUUGUUCGGCAUUGAGACUGCCAGAUUGUUUGAAGACCCAACAGUCUCUGUGGGUAUGGUUCGCAGGCUUCGUGGGAGUACUGUGUAUCUGACAUAUCCUGUCCAGGAUUUUAUUUAGGUUGGAUGGAUCGUCCCUGUUAUCCUGGGGGGGCGAUUUUUCCUGAUUUUGUCAUGAGCCUUUGAAUCCGGCGUUGACUGUCGUGCUCUUCGGACUUUUGUCCUUAGUCCGGCGACGGUCCUUGUUACUUCGCGGUCUUCCGUUUCCAUCCCUGGUUUCGGAUGUACUUGGGUCGCUGGGGCUGCACCUUGCCAACCGGCUGUCCUCCCCUGCACAAAAGCGGGUCAUGAGGCUUGUAAGUGCGGCCAUUGUUCUUGGUUUUUCUUGGCUGAGGUGUCUGGUGAGCUAUUUGUCUCGGACGUUAUGCCUGAAAGCUACUAAGGCUUCGGCGUCCGGACAAUCGACUAUCUGAUUCUUUUUAGUGAGGAAUCUAUUCCAGAACUGCCGAGCUGAUUCUCCGGGUUGUUGAGUUAUGUAACUAAGAUCGUCUGCAUCCGGAGGACGGACAUAGGUCCCUUGAAAGUUUGCUCGGAAGGCAUCCUCGAGUUCUUCCCAGCUUCCAAUUGUGUUUUCUGGAAGGCUUUUAAGCCAAUGCCGUGCUGGCCCUUUAAGCUUAAGGGGUACAUAUUUUAUGGCGUGGAGAUCAUCUCCUCUAGCCAUGUGUAUGUGGAGGAUAUAGUCCUCGAUCCAGACUCUAGGGUCUGUUGUUCCAUCAUAUGCCUCUAUGUUUACGGGUUUGAAUCCUUCUGGGAAUUCAUAGUCCAGGACCUCAUCGGUGAAACAUAGGGGGUGUGCGGCACCCCUGUAUUUGGGUAUGACGGAUUCUGAUGAUGGCUUCAUAGCGUUACUUACGAGAGCUUGCUUUCUUGGCCCAUAAAUGGACCUGACUGGGCCAUGAUGCGAAUCCUUAAGUGGGUCGCAUGCCGAUUUAGGUGCGGCGCCGCUUGUCGCUUUAUGGGGUCGUCUAUCCAACCGUGUGGCUUUUUCAUUUUUUGAAUGCGAGGGCUCUAAGGCCUCUUCAUCGAAUUCAGGCAGUAGCUUUCUUUUCGGAUAGCUUCUAGUGCGGCGACUAUCGCCGUACUUAUCUGUGGCAUUGAUUACCUUGCUCCAUCUGAUCCGGAGUGCAUCUUCCGCUGUUUUUAGCUUCCGCUUCUGCUUUUUUAGGCUGUGUGCAGUUGCAACGAGCCUCUCAUGGAGAUUCUUCUGCUCCGUGAGUUUAUUCGGCGUGAGGUCGUCCAGAAUGCCGUUUUCGGCGGAGGAGGGAUGUUCGGUUUCUCUAUCCGUGUUGCCCUGUUCAGACGGUUGCUCUAAGGCCCGCCCGUCGUCUAUCGGCUCGUCCUGCUCUAUGGCCGGGUUUUUGUCGAGGCGGGGCUUGGGUCGGCAUUUACGCUGACGCCUUGAUUGCUUUUCGGGGGAUCGAUCUCUCGUCCCCUCCCCUUUUUCCUCGUUGUCGCCUCCCUUAGGGGUGUCCACCAUGUACACAUCGUGAGAUGAGGUGGCUGUCCAAUGCCCUAUGGGCAUUGGUUCGUCGGUAUCUCCUCCAUCGCCAUCCAUGUUGUCGAUGUCUUCGGAGCCGAAGUCGGGAAUGUCGGUUAAAUCGUCGACAGUGGCUAUAAAGUGGGUGGUGGGUGGGUUUUGGAUUUCUACAUCGUUUGCAUCCCAACUUUGCUGACCGUAGUCCGGCCAGAGCUCUCCUGACAACGAGAGUGACUUUAGAGAAUUCAGGAUGUCGCCGAAGGGCGAGUGCUGAAAGAUGUCUGUAGCGGUGAACUCCAUCAUCGGCGCCCGAUCGGAUUCGAUUGGCAGGGGCGCGGGGGGUUCGGAGUCCGGGGUGGAGUCCGGACCCUUGGAGUCACAGGUUGUGCAGAGUGCGGGGCUAGCUUUCGGCUCGAUCACUUUUGGGAUCGCAGCCCCUGAGGUGACGUCCAACCGCUCAUCCUCGAUUGGCGCAGUGGGCUCUGAAUCAAUGGUUGGAACCGGUGCGUGUGCGGCCUCCAAAGCGUUGUUCGGCGGCAGAGCUAUAUCAUGCCCAUCGAGACAGUGCGGCGCGCUUGGCUGUGGCUUGAAUCCAUCGAAGAUCAAGUCCCCGUGGGUGUCAGCCAUGUAGUCUAGGCUUCCAAGCCUGGCCUGAUGGCCAGGGGCAUAGCUUUCGAUCUGCUCAAGGUGGCCAAGCGAAUUGGCCCGCAGUGCGAAGCCGCCGAAGACUAAGAUCUGUACGGGGAGAAGAGUCUCAACCUGGACUGCAUCAUUGUUGAUGAUCGAAGGAGCCAUCGGGCCUAAAGGCGACGACACAUAGGAACUCUCAAUGAAAGCACCAAUGUCGGUGUCAAAACCGGCAGAUCUCGGGUAGGGGGUCCUGAACUGUGCGUCUAGGCCGGAUGGUAACAGGAGACAGGGGACACUUUGUUUUACCCAGGUUCGGGCCCUCUCGAUGGAGGUAAUACCCUACUCCUGCUUGAUUAAUAUUGAUGAUAUAGGUAGUACAAGAGUAGAUCUACCACGAGAUCAAGGAGGCUAAACCCUAGAAGCUAGCCUAUGGUAUGAUUGAUGUGUAUGGAGUUGAUUCUCCCCUACAGACUACAACCCUCCGGUUUAUAUAGACACCAGAUAGGGUUAGGGUUACACAGAGUCGGUUACAAUGGUAGGAGAUCUUGAAUAUCGCAUCCCCAAGCUUGCCUUCCAUGCCAAGGAAAGUCCCAUCCGGACACGGGACGAAGUCUUCAAUCUUGUAUCUUCAUAAUCCAGGAGUCCGGCUGAAGGUACAGUCCGGCUACCCGAACACCCCCUAAUCCAGGACUCCCUCACACGGCAAGGGACGGGGGUACAAGGAUUGGUCUGCGGUGUCGCACCUUGUUGUUCCCUACCAGUGGCGGGCGAGCUGCGGCGGCGCUUCUCUGUUGCGUGGCGAGGGUCGGGGGCGCAAGGCGUGGCAUCUGUAGUGCCACUCCUGGGGCAUGCCUCUCCGGUGACAUUGCCGGCGUACACAAUAUACCUUAUUGCACGGGGAUUUCAUCUCUGAAGUAAAUAUUACGUCACAACUGAAUAUUACGUCCAAAGACUGAAACAUCCAGAAAGCUUAUUGAGACUAUUCAUUUAUGGUGUUUCACUACUACACGAGGGAGGUAAUUGUCUUUAUGUGCUUCCUUUUCCAUUUCAAUGCACCGUUGUGUUAUUUUGGUUGAAAAAUUAAAGUUACUACAUAUUUUCAUGGUUUAUGAAAAGUAGCUGAGAUCCGUUGUUUUUUUCCUACUUAGUGAGGAAAUUCCGGUGAAGCUAAAGUUGGUGGUGUUCAUCUUUUUUUUCUCUCUACAAUUUAGUACUCUUGACAUCGUUGCUAAAAUUUAUCAUUCAAAAGAUCAGUGUAGUAGUGCAGGCUAACAAAACCGUAUUUUCUACAAACCUGAGGUAGACAAACAUAACAACUGAUGAAAGAAGAACAUACUUGUACCUUGUUGCCCGCUGACUAUAAACAGAAGAACAUUGAAACACUCGUUACUGCAUUAUAUAUUUUAAUUGCAAUAGUAUUUUGAUUAUGCAUGAAGAAAUAUGCUGAGUGUUUCUUCAUUUAGUUUAAUGUGCCAAUUAGGCAUGGACAACGAUGGCCACGAUCCCAUCAUCGCAAGCUCACGGGAGGGAGACACACAUCUCAUCCAGUGGAAAAGCACGCUCUGAAAAAUCCCUAACCCUCCAUGGAGCCAUUGUCAAGGUUACGAGAUCAACGCUACCCACCACCAUCACCGAGUUGUAGAUGGCAUGUCGUGGUGCUCCCUGGCUCUUCCCGCCUCUUGAGAGACCACAUGGGUUUCUGGCGCAAUUUUUGGCCAAGGCUGGAAGCCAAGAACACUUUUUAAUUUUGAUCAUGGAUGUCACAUUGUGGUCGGCGGUGUGUGGUGCGGUGCAGAUAGUUCUUGCCUGGCGUAUAACAAUGCAUAUUCAAUGGGGUAGCCUCUUCUCAUGCACGAGUAUCAGAGGCAGACCACGACAGCUAUUCAGAAUAGCUACAACAAAAUUGUGACAGAGGUGGUUAGUGGGAGAAGGAACUUGAGAACCAGCCAAUUCUGCUGCAGGGGCUAUGUGUAGAAGAUAGUAGUAGCAAGCAUAGAAGUCACUCUGGAAAAAGUGUGCAUAUAUUGUUGUACUAGAGAUCCAUUCGUAUAUUUCACUUAUAUGCAUGGUUGAGUUGUAGUAUGUGUGAUACAUGAGAGUAAUGUAAUAUGAAGUGAAACAUGGUGGACAGGUCUUCGUGAAUGAGAUGGCGGAGAAGAUGUCAGUGGUGGAAGAGGACAUGUUAUAGAAGAUGUCGUGAGCGGUACCGGAGGAAAUGGUCAAAUGGGGUUCCUCGGAGCGGACAAGAAGGAUGCUGCAGCGGCAUUUAUUGGGUUCCAUUUCCAUCCAAAGAAGAACUUAUGAACAGUAUGUGCGCGAUCCAUUCAUUCUUUCGUUUGAUCCUUCCUUAUUCCCCUCAACCCAAAUUCGUUUUCUUUUGCACUUACGCAUGGUUUUUAUGGAUCAAUAAAUUUAGUGACAUUAAUGGCAAUGAUAUCCAUAAACUUCACAUUGUUGUUUUUCAGCAGAAUAUGAUGUUCGUCUCUUCUUCAUAUGGACUGCAAUAUGGUCGAUGGUAGCUUGCUGAAUAGGUUAAGCGAGACCCAAGACAUAAUUUCAUUUCGAGUGUUUGACUUGUUGAAUAGGUUAAAAGCCUACUGCAAAAAAAUAUUAGACGCCAAGUUUAUAAGGGUUACAUGUAUGCAAUUUACAUGGGUCUAUCUAAUGUUAGAGUUCCAUGCCUCUAAUUAUUUGUAUUUAUGUAUUCUAGCUAUGGAUACCAGUAGCAUUAGUUCUUUUAAUGUAUUGCCUUUAUAAAUUUUACUAUUUAGAUACUAUAUAUGAGAAUAUCAAGUAAUUAUAAAUGCCAUUUAUAAUCACAAACGAUCUUACCGAAUGAUUUUUUCAUGGCCUUCAAAGAAGAGAUAUCCUAGAAGUUGAGUGCAGUUGGAGGGGCCUUAGUCCUUUUGAGCCAAGAAAAGUAGAUGGGGCUUGUCCAAGCUAUGAAUAGUAGGUGGGAAAGUGUUGAAAUAUUUUGUGUUUCCAUGGUUUUUAAAUGGUAGGAGGUACAUGUAGUAAUCUGUACGGUUUCAAGUGCCUAAUUUCAUGUGUAAAAAUUUGCUAGGGAAUUCUGAUUGUAGAAUCUUGGAAUAAGGGAACAAAAUCCUAUAUGUGUCAUAUUUAAUUAAUGGAUAAUAACAAUAGACAUGCUUUCAUGAGAUGAUUAAUCUUAAGCAUAGAAGGGCAUCCAUGUGCCACCUAUCAUUUGUAAUGCACAAUAAAGAGUUCUAUGUUAUUGUGUUUUGUGCAUUAGAUCUGAUCCUAUAUGUUACCAAAUUACAUUGUAAGUGAAGUGGAUCUCAAUAUUUUUUAUGCUAUUGGCUAUCUUUUCUAUACAUGUGAAAUUUGAAAUGCAAUCAGUAACAACCAACCUGCAAUGAAUAGGAAGGCAUAGUAAUGUAAUGAAUAACCCAACAUCAAAUACUCAUAAUAAUAUUGACAAAAAACAUUCUCAACUUUUUUAAGGGUUAAUUAUCCUUUUGCCCUCAGUGGUGUUCAUGUACUCAGUUUUGCCCUCAGAUGCGAAUUGUGCUCAGUUUUGCCCCUAGUCCGUGCGCACCGACUCGUUCCGUGAACUCUGCCGUCUCCGUCAGGUCAACCUUUUGACUCGGCCCUUACAGGUGGGACCAGGCGACAGAAACGGCCAAUUUUAUUCAGACCGUUGCACGCGUGGCUUGUGGGACCCAGCAUAGAGCCGUUGAGCAGAGAGCCGUUGGCGGGUGUGCUAUAUAAGUGGGCGACAGCGGCGGUGACCACGGCAACAGAGAGCACGGCAGUGACCACGGCGAGAGAGAGAGAGAGAGAGCACAGUGGCGGGAAGCUAGUUGUGGAGGGCGCGGUGGUGGGAAGCUAGCAGUGGAGGGCGCGGCGGCGUUGAGAUCCCUUCGGCUCCGAGCUCCAUGUCUUCCUCAAGCUCCCACGCUACCUUGCGGAUGCAGAGCCGGGCGCGUGUGGACAUGCAUGUCUUCGUCUAUCCGCGGUGCCGGGCGGGCGUUGAUCGGAGGGUUUCUCAGACACCGAGGAACCAGAAUCGUCCGUUCUACGUGUGCAGCGAGAAUGGGGUAAGAAUCGGGGCAAUUGCACCAUUUUCGUGGUCGGGAUCUUUGAGCAAUGGGUUGAUUUGUUUGGUGUUCAUGCAGGUGACAUGCUUCUUUCUUUGGGUCGAUGCUCUGGCCAAGACUCUGAUGAAUGAACUGCAAGAAGAGCAUGAAGAAUGGUUGCGCAUGCUGCCACGAACGGCAGUGGACGCACCACGAGCUCCGGAAGAAGGGAUGGAGGGCGAAGCACGCACUGACAGAGAGCUAGCUGUUGAGCUUAGGAUGUUGAAGAAGAAGGUUAGGAAGCUUGAAGAUCAAGCACUACCAAUACCCAUUUGUAAAUACUUUUGGGCAUUUGUAGGUAUGGUAAUCGCACUGGUUGUAAUGUUGAAAAUGUAUGGAAAGGCAUGAAUUAUGGAGGAAUUUGUAAUCUUGAAAUUGUUUGAGAAAUCCACCUAGUUUAAAUAUUAGUUAAAGUUGUUUAAAGGCUGUUUAAAUGUUGAAACAAAAAGAGAAGAAGUGACCAACAUUUAAAUAUGUUGGAAAAAAGAGAAGAAAUUAGGAAUUCAGAAACUUUUGAUCAAUGAAAUGCAGCUCUCUGCUCUGCCUUUCUGUCCAAAAAAAAGGUUGCUCUUGGGCCAAAUUCAGAGCGUAGAGCCAAGUGCAGGCUAGACUAAUGGGCCAACUGCAUCCAAUUUGGCCCAUUCAGGGGUUCUCUUGCGUAUUUUUCUGUUUUCUAUUCUGAUUUAAUUUAGGCAGUAAAUCAUAAUGCUGGAACUUUUUGUGGAAGCUAAUUGAAUUAUUCCGGAGCCAAACAAUUAAGGUUAGAAAUUUUUUGGAGCUAUUAAUUAAUCCAAUUCAAAUACACCGUGAUUUAAAUCAAAGACCAAAAUGUCAUGGAAAAUGUGCCUCAGCUCUGGUAGAGGUUUAUGCCAGGUGCCAAAAUAAAUGAACAAUUUUUAAGGGCAUUACAUUGAGAAAAACAUAAUUUGUCUAAAAAAAUGAAGGGUGGAAAAUGCACGAAAAAUUGGUGCGGCUGGGGACUCGAACCCAGGACCGCGUGGGUUUGUGGUGUUUAGGGCUGCGCUAGUAACCGCUAGGACAGAUGGCAAGACUUUGACAUGGAUAGGGAAGGAAGGUAUACAUAGUGAGAUUUUGAAUUUUUUUUUAAAAAAUAGUGAGACCGUGAAUGUUUGCACACGCGUGAGAGUGUUUUUCCAUUGUUUUGAACUUAAAUUUUGGAGGGUUGGAAGGUUGAAAAUGUAUGUUGCACUACCACAUGAUUUUGGUCAGAGUGGCACUUGGUCUAGGGUUAGAGUGGCACUUGGUUUAGGAUUUAAAGGGAAUAAAUUUGCAUGUUAGUUUAUGACUUUUUGUUUGAAUGAAACAGAGGGCUUCUCACCCCCUCCAAUUUUCAUUAAUGAAAACCACAAGUUCUCGAACUUCAUGACUUGUUUAGGGAAGAAAUGAUAUGUUUGGGCACGGACAUUUUUUAACACACAUAAUAAACCCUAAUAACUUAGAUAAGAUGGAACACACCAUACCAUUGCAAUAACUUAGAUAAGUUCACGGACAAUUCACAGACACAUGACGAAACAUGACACGACACGACACGACAUAGAAAAGCAACAAAAUAAAAAACGAAACAUGACGAGCUUGACUCCGGGCUUGAAUAUCUUCAUCUUGACCUUCUUCUUCCACCUUGGCCGCGUGCGCCCCUUCAACACCGUCUUCAUCUUCACACCUCCUCCUACUCGUCGUAGGGAAGGGAGUGCAUCUGGCCUGGAGCGGGGAAGAUGCGCUCGUAGUUGGUGUAGAUGUUGUAGACGGUGAAGAAGAUGACCUCGCAGCCGCACCAAAAGACUUGGCUGAGGAGCUCGCGCGCGUCAAACGGGUUGGUAAAGGUGACCGUGAGUAGUAGGAGGAUGCCGCCGCGGUCACGAACCUCGUUGAGGGUGAACAUCCUCGGCGAGCCCCGUGGGAGGUGGGCAUAGCCGGCUCUGAGGAAGGCGCGGGUGAGUUCGACGAAACCCCUCCACCUUGAAAUAGCCCACACACAGAGCUCCCUCUCCACGAGCACGCCCGGUGGGUAGCGCAGCUCCGGCACGACAGGUGGGCGGUUGAAGGUCGGCCCAUUGAACUGCAUCUUCACUUGGUCUCGCUUGGGGAGGGCUCGGUCGCUUGGGUGUUUGAAGUUGGAGAGGAUCGGAUCUGGCUUGUGGGUGGGAGAGGAAGAGAGGCACCCCAUUUAUAGGCCUGUGCGUGGGAGAGGAAGAGAGAAAGGAUGAGAACGGUGCGUAUGUGAAUCAGGACGCGUGUGUGUAUCCGUUACGUUUUGCACACUUAAAUUUUUGCACGAAAACGAUGCAUGGGGCGCGUGCGUGCAUCUGAAUCACUUCAUAACUCUUUGACCGGGCGGUGCAUGUGAAUCGCUGCCCUGAACCACUGCACUGAACCACCUAGCUCGCCUCGCUAGCCUAGCUCACCUAGCGCGCCUCGCUCGCCUCGCUCGCCUCGCUCACAUGCAUGCACGUCGCCACCUCUCGCGCAUGCAAACCCACGUCGCCGCCUCCAUGCAUGCAAGGCCUGGAAAGGCUGAGACGGGCUGUUUACUGCGGUCUCAGGCCCAGAGCACGAGACGGCCCAACGGUCCAUCCAGCGCGCCCGAUAUUUGUUAAAAAAACAAUCUCUCAGCCAAUCAGAUUGCAUCUCGCGGAUCGCCCCUCCUCCCCGCAGAUUCCUUCUAGAAGGGUUAGAUCGACGGCCCUUGAUCGCCGCUAGGGUUAGAUGAACGGUCCUUGUUCAGCGCUAGGGUUAGCGGGGUUUGGAGCAGUCAAAGCUAUGUUUGACCAGAUUUCAAAUGAGCAUAAUAAAUUAAAUAAAAAUUAGAAAAAUAAAAAACCUGCGCACAUAGUCUUCUUAUGUCAUAUACUAACGAUUUAAGUUGAUAAACAAGCUUUACAUACAUUUAAAUGAUAAGUUCAUGUGUAUUGUAUGAUAUCUCGAGUAUCUCAAACUCUCUUGUAUGAAGUGAAGAGAAGUGUUUUGGGGAAAUGAACAUGAAAAUUUCAAAAAAACUAACCACAGCUUCAUUUUGGAGUGACUAAGAAGGAUCCAGGCUUAGUUUUUUCAUUUUGAUGUUUUACACUUGUUUAAAUCUUGGUCAAAGUUAAGUUUGACCAUAAUUCAAAUGAGCAAAACAAAUUUAAAAAAAAAUCAUAAAAUGGAAAAACCAGCGCACAUAGUCUGUACAUAUAGAAUAUAUGUGUAGGAAAGUUAUUUGGCUGAUUUAGACAAGGUCGAAUUUUUUUUUUGCUUAGAAAUGAGGCCGUUUACCCUACCUUUGGACCCCUCUUUUUAGCACAUUUUUCAUGAAAAUUUCAAAAAGCUCACCACAACUUCAUUUUGGAUUGACUAAGAAGUAUCCAGGCUUAGUUUUUCAUUUUGAUAUUUUAGACUUGUUUAAAUCUUGGUCAAAGUUAGGUUUGACCAGAAUUUAAAUGAGCAAAACAAAAUUCAAAAAAAUCAAAAAAGGAAAAACCAUAUGCUCAUUCAAACAUCAUCCAACAGAUAUUUAAAUAUCAUGUCAAACAUACUUCUAACAUAGGUCCAACAUCAUCCAACAGAAAUACAACAUGUCAAGUGAUAAAUGUUUCAUAAUACAACAUCAUCCCUUAUUCAUUCAUAAUGUUUCAUAAUUAUUCAUAGAUAGCGUUGGGGCUUCUGUCUGUUCCUUGUGCUCAUUGUUUCUUCUCUUCUUUUCUUGGUUGUCGGUACCUUGCGCGUCUUCUUCAAACCUACCAUAGAGCUGUGCAAAACAUAAACGGUAAUGAGAUCAUGUCAAAUGAUAGAUGUACAGUAGUAUUUGACCCUUGUAAGAUUUACAUACCUAGCAGAACUCACAACAACAGAAGGUUGGUUACCAUUUGGAGCCUCACUUGGAUCAUCAUUUGGAGCCUCACUUGGAUCACCAUGAUCACCAUUUAGAGCCUCACUUGGAUCACCAUUUGGAGCCUCACUUGAAUCAUUAUUUGAAGGAUAUUUUGGAUCAUCGUCAAAAUCAUGCGGUUGUUUACCAUCAUCAUUUGGAACCUCGUCAAAAUCCUCAUCUGAUGCAACCGGUUGUUGACCAUCAUUUUCAUCAUCUGUUGAGGCAACCGGCUGCUGACCAACAUUUUCAUCGAAACUCUCUCCGAACGCUGGAUCUACCGUGUUAUCACAAUACUUACCAAAAUGACCAGACCCACCACACCUUGUGCACUUACGCUUCCUCGCUCCAAGUCCAGCUCCUUCGCUGCGAGGUCUGAUUCGACUCUUCCUUGGUCUACCUGCUGCUCUCUUCAGAAUUGGAGCGCAAAGCUUGAAUCCAGGGUCCACCAUGUCCCAUUGUUGUUUUCCCUCCAUAGCAGGCAAGGCAUAAGCAUAUGUGGCUUUGAACCUUGCAACAGAGUAGUAAUCAUGCACAUACUGUUGUAUGUUCCCUGCUGGACCUGGGAGAGAAGUGAUGAAAAACAAGGCAUGAAUGCAUGGCAACCCAGUUAUCUGCCAUUGCCUACAACUGCAAGUUCUAACUUCUAAAUCCACUGGAUAUCUCCAUUCCCUCUUCUCUUUAUCCAAAUAUGAUAUCUCUGUUGUGGUACCCGAGCAAAGAGUCAUGUUCAUUUCCAAGCCUGUUGUCUUCUGCUUCAGUUCAUUCAUCACGGCAGGGAUGAUAAUGUGGCCCAUGAAUUUUGCCUCGGCUAUUCCUGCACGAUAAUGAAAUUUCUGCAUGUAUUCUAUCCUUAUCCUGUCAAGAAAAUCCACCACAUAAUGACCCUUUAGUUUCCGGAUCGUUGAGUUGAAAGACUCUGCUAGAUUAUUGUGCACAUAGUCAACUUUGCUCACUUCACUGAAUUGGCUUCUGGCCCAUAACUUGGAGUGGUGUAUUUCCAAGUAUUCUUUCACUCUGGUAUUCAUGUAUAACUGCCUCAAGUGGUAGUUGUGCUUCUUCACACUGCAUGUCAAAGAUGCUGGUCAUAAAUUGUCGGUAUACACCUUUCUUUUGAAUUUCUUAAUGAAAUUUGCAGCAAGGUGACGCAUGCAUUCCCUAUGCUCUACUCCAGGGAACACAUUACCCACGGCCACUUCUAAACCUUUGCAGGCAUCUGUAUGAAUGACCAACCCAUUGGGAUGUGCAAUAGCUCGGCGGAGAUUAUGCAAAAACCAAAUCCAGCUCUCCUCAGACUCUGUCUCCAGCACACCAUAGGAAACUGGAAAUACAAAACUAUGUGCAUCAACUGCACAAGCUGCUACUAACUGUCCUUUAAACCUCCCUGUGAGAAAAGUGGCAUCAAUAGCCAAAUAAGGCCUGCAGCCUGCCAAAAAACCCCGGCGACAAGCCUCAAAGCAGACAAAAACCCUCCUAAAGCAUUCCUUGGUCUUUGUCACUCCCCUGAAUGUGUACUCACGGUGUGGUGAUCAAUAUCUACAAUACUACCUGGGCUUGUCCUCUCCACUUCACCUUUGAGUGAAUACAACAAUUGAAAACUUUACUGCCAGUUAUCAUAAAUAGAAUCCAUAGCAUGUUGUUUACCAUUGAUCAACCUCAUGUAUGGUAAAUCUAUCUUGAACUUAUCUUUGAUGUUCUUCUGCAAUUCCUUUGGACCCACUUGCUAGUUUUCUUUCACCCACUUCUUUACUUCUUCUGCCACCCAUCUUGACUUGGCUUUACUGAUUGUAUCCUUCCUAAGGGUUGAUUCCUGGCAUGUGUGCUUAAAAGGGUUCACUUUGACCUGAACAUUAGUGCUAUUCCGCAUUUUAGAUGCAAGCAGCCUCCAUGGACAACCUUCAGUCGGACAGUGCACUCUGUAACGUACUUGAUCACUCUUGUAAACUUUGAAAGUACGUUCUACCUUGAUGCAGUAUGUCACAAGUGCAUUUCUACACUCAUUCAUGGAUGCAAAAACUGUACCUUCUUCCAUAUGAGGGUUCAAAGGGUCCCAUUCAACAGCUGCAAGGUCUUCGUCCUCACCCAUCGUGUCAUCAUUCACACGGACUGCAUUGUGAGCCUCAUCUUGAUUUUCAGUCCGAGGUGCCCGCCGUAAAUUCCGAAUAACAUUAGAAUAUAGCUUCUCUUCAUCAACCCCAGAAUUGUAGCCAUCAGGCUCCACUUCAAGGGGGACCCUACUGCUGUUGCCCACACUUGUCGAGCCACCACGUCGCCGUGCACCAACUGAACUGUUCUGGCUAGAUAUGCCAUUAUGAUGACUUGGUUCUCCCCGAGAUGUUGCACCCGCCAUCCUAGGUCCAAAUGCCUACUCAAGCACAUCAACUUGCAGCCUCACAUGAAAAUUAUCUUUCUCUUUAUGCCUAACAAACAUGGUAGCUAGCUCUUCUUCAUUACUAACUGUCACCCAAUUCUUUUCCCCACUAUAGUAUUUGUAUACCACUUCAUCAAGCAAACCCCAAGGAUAUUGGCUACAAAUUACCUCCCCAAAAUGUCUAAAACUUCAAUUACUAGCCAUUGGCAAGCGAUAAUCAAAACCUCCUUGGUAUUUCUUCUUAUCCUUUGCAUCGAACAUGUACCGGUCCCUUCUAAUGUGCAUCAUGAAAGCAAACCGCAACUCCAUCCUAACCGGCGAAAAACAGAGACGCAAUCAGCACACCAAUUGGGCAAACAUACUCGAAUCAAGUGUUCAAAUGCACAACUAAGCUCAAUCUAAACAAGAGGCGAGACUUACCCCUCGGGAACCCAGUCGUGGACGCGGCGGAUCUCCGGCCCGAUGCCUGCCUCGCCAAAUACUCCGGGGUCGCCGCUGCUCACCAUUUCGCCCUAGGGUUCUUCCUCCUAGUUUAAAUAGCUCCAACAGCCCCCCACCUUUGAGCGCUCCGGCCGGGCGCACGGAAGGAGGCCGCGCCGCGGAUCGAGCAGGUGGCGGGCGCCCCACCUGUGGCGUCGCAGGAAGGUGGUGGGCGUCACAGGUAGCCGUGGAGCAUAGGCGCAGGGAGGUAGCGGCGGAGCAGGCCGUGCAGCUGGUGGCGGGGCAGGUGCUGGCCGCGGCGCAAGUGGCGGCGGCGGCGCAGGACAGCCGACCGGGCGGAUGGGUGUGAGCUAGAAUGAUUGGGGAUUUAGUUGCACGGGCCUACAUGUCAGCUCCGGACCCAUGUCCACGCGGUCCCACGUGUAAGCUCCGGACCCACAACCACUAACGCCGGCGGACGAAAUGGACUCAAAUAUGGCCGUUUGGCCUCGUCAUAGUUGCUGUGCUCGGACUAGGGGCAAAACUGAGGACAAUUUGCAUCUGAGGACAAAACUGAGCACAUGGACACCACUAAAGGCAAAAGGAUAAUUAACAGGGAAUUUGAGGAUUUGCCACACCUUUCCUUGCACUUUGAGGAUUUGCCUUUCUUUAUUUUGACACUGAUGAUUUGCCAUUACUUUGUCAAAAACUUGAGGAUUUGCCCUUUCUAACCGAUUUGAGAUUACACUAUAGAUGGAAUGACCAAAACUUGCCAAAACCAAUCCAAAUUAGAUGCUUACGUUUUCUCCUCUGUUCGUCCCGCAGCCGACGGCUCGCCAUGCCUCAUCCACCUGCCGCCCUGUGUUGUGCUGCUGGUGCUCCUCCUCUCCCCACGCUCCGGUAGCGUCGCCGAGCUGCUGCUGCUCCUGUGCGUGUGCCGGAUGUGGUGCGUGGAGGAUGCCGUCGACAGUCCGAGCCCGAGGACGGUGGUGUCUGUACUGUCCAUGGUGAGCUCGGCGAGGGCGCACCAGACAGGAGGCAAGCUCGGACUAUGUCGUUUUUCUCUGUGGAUGCAGCAGUAGCAGCAGCAACAGCCGGGUGCCCAGGUGCUGGAGCACGCACGCACAUAUCACGCACUCACGCCCAGGUGCCAGAGCAUGAACGCACACAAUGUACGUACAGCACUAACACACACAAAGCAUGCCCAGGCACACACACGCCUAGCACACAUCGCGCACGGCCAGGUGCUAGAGAACGCACGCACACAGAGCACUCACGCCCAGGCACACAUCAGCUGGCCGUCCGCCUCGAGGCGCCGCCAUCCGUCCGGCUCGAGCGCGACAUGCUUUUCAAGGAUGCCGUCCAGUGGUCACCGCUGUCCACGGCGGACCGUGAGCUCGACGACGACGAGGCCUGGCUACCAGCUUGAGUCAUUGGAGUGGAUACGUGAGUCGCCGGCAGCCGCUUCUUGCCCCUUGCGACGCGUACGGCCGAUGCUGCUGCCGGCUGGCCUCCCGCCUCGAAGACGAGAGCGUUCCUGCCACGUCGGCCAUGCUGCUCGCCGAGGCCGUGCGCGUGGCCACGACAGCCUCGCGCGGCACCGUCCCGAGCGGCGGUACAGGAUGGUUCUGCGCCAAGAGAUAGCGAGCGAGGAGCAGAUAUGGCAGGGGGAGGGGGCAGCCGGACAGAGGUCAGCAGCGGUUGGGGAUAGCCGGCGGUGAAGCAUGGUGGCUGGGAAGCGUCCCGGCUAAGGGAGCGCGGAGAAGAGAGGCGAAGGGGAGCUCGCCGCCGCGGCGUUCAUGUCAAUACUGCAAUACGUGAGACCGUCAGAAAGAAUGUGAGAGAGCCGAGCGUGAUUCGAUGCGCAGUUCAGGGGUAUUUUCGUCAUCUCAUGGUGGGCUCACCUUGUCAGGGGCAAAUCCUCAAGUUUUUGACAAAGUUGUGGCAAAUCAUCAGUGUCAAUAUAAAAGAGGGCAAAUCCUCAAAAUGCAGGGAAAGGUAUGGCAAAUUCUUAAAUUUCCCGAUAAUUAACCUUUUUUUAAGGCCCGUGGCAACGCGCGGGCACUCUAUUGGUUAGAAUAGUUAUUAUUUGGAUCUAGAUGAGGCCUGACAGCACGUUCCCGAGAUCGCUAAAAACCCACCGACCCGAUCGGUACAAGAAAAGAAAAAAAAGGCCCACCCACCCCCAACCUCCCGCACCUUCCUCCUCUGCUCCCGAUCCCCCGCCGCCACAACCACACCCGUCCCCGGAUCCGCCCACCGUCCCCCUGGUGUGCCACCCGCCGCCGCUGGCCAUAGAUCCCCACGCGCUGCCGCCGUCCAUAGACCCCCACGCACCGCCGCCAGUCGUGGAUCAUCACGCACCCACACCACCCAUGGAUCCGCACGCGCCAUCGCCGGCCCUAGAUCCCCUCCCCGCCGAUCGUGGAUCUCGCUCGGCGCCGGCCGUGGAUCCCGCGUGUAGCUAUUGGUCCGGGGUCGGGAUCCUCCUCCCCCGCUGCUUGCGUGGGUGGGUAGCCGUCGAGCCCACCUCCUCUGCCCACGGCAUGUGGACGCAAAUGACGGCGGCUCCGCGGUGCUGUGGCCUGCUGCCGCUGGGUGAGUUCGUGUGCAGCUUUGUGUUGAGUCUUGGCUCUGUGCGUGUGAUGAUGCUGAGUGAGUGAGCUGUGUGUGUGCACAUGAACUGAAAAAAGUUUCAGAUCUUGUAGCCAGCUCGUGUGCACCACAUGAGUGUUUGUGUUUAUGCCCCAAAGAAGAAGGUCACCAAGCUGGAGGGGAGAAGGUCAGAUGAGGUGUAGGGAGCAGGGGUGUCGCCUUUGAUGAGGAACAUGGUUGCUGUUCCAGAACGUGGUGUUCUUUUUGUUGUUGCUGAGUGAGUGAGUGAGCGGGUAAUUUCUGAGGCAUAAAGGAACAUGCAAACAAUGUACAUACAUGUACAGCGAUCUGAGGCGAGAUGCAGAGGGUGUAAAGACAGAGUUUUGAGUCUGGGUGGAUGCAAGUGAAGUGCUCAUGAUGAUGGCCAGACUUUUAAUAUCUUAAGGGGGCAGCAUAGUGUAUAUGUUGAUGAAAAUUUAGUAGUUGUUGUAAAAGGCACUUGGUUUCGGAUAAAUGAAAUCCGAGAGGGAUCUCUUUUUGUCAUAUAUAUAUUGUAUGCCUCUGUUUCUCAGGCUCCCGGUCAAAAUCCAUCGUCUCACGUGCAGCCAAGUGAAAAUUUGCAGUCAUCCGCCCGCUUUCUGACUUAACAAAUAUUUUUGUUUGCGGAAACCCCC